UACAGAGGAGCCAAGCGUUGUCCGGAUUGACUGGGCGUAAAGCGCACGCAGGCGGAUGCGCGCGUGGGGUGUGAAAUCUGGCCGCUUAACGGCCAGGCGCCAUCCCAUACGGCGCGUCUGGAGCCUUGCAGAGGUCGGUGGAAUUGCCGGUGUAGUGGUGAAAUGCGCAGAUAUCAGGAGGAACACCAAUGGCGAAGGCAGCUCGCUGGGACGUGACUGACGCUGAGACGCGAAAGCGUGGGGAGUAAACAGG
rnacentral:rRNA from 1 species